GCGCGACCUCCGCCGAAUCCGGUGCCCCUGUGGCAACCGGAACCGGGACCCAACCGACCUUGGGGUGAAUCGGCCCAACUGCCCGAUCGGGCAAGGACCGUAGGGCAUGCCUUCCGGAAUCUUCCGCCCGAACCCGACAGCCGGCCCGGUAGGCGGAGUACGGAAGGAGUA
rnacentral:sRNA from 2 species